CGGCGCCGCCGCACGCGGNGAGACACGUAUGCAACCUGCCCUCUUCAGGGGGACAACCUUCCGAAAGGGAGGCUAAUCCCGCGUAUAUCGGUUUCGGGCAUCCGAGAUCGAGGAAAGAUUCAUCGGAAGAGGAUGGGCAUGCGGCGCAUUAGCUAGACGGCGGGGUAACGGCCCACCGUGGCGACGAUGCGUAGGGGUUCUGAGAGGAAGGUCCCCCACACUGGUACUGAGACACGGACCAGACUCCUACGGGAGGCAGCAG
rnacentral:rRNA from 1 species